rnacentral:misc_RNA from 1 species
GAUGAAGAACGUAGCGAAAUGCGAUACUUGGUGUGAAUUGCAGAAUCCCGUGAACCAUCGAGUCUUUGAACGCAAGUUGCGCCCGAAGCCAUUAGGCCGAGGGCACGCCUGCCUGGGCGUCACACGUCGUUGCCCCCCCAUCUACUCCUUCGGGAUUGCGGGGAGCGGAUGAUGGCCUCUCGUGCGCCUCGUCGCGCGGUUGGCCUAAAUGCCAAGUCCUCGGCGACGCACGCCACGACAAUCGGUGGUUGCGAAACCUCGGUUGCCUGUCGUGUGCGGUCGUCGCGCAUCGAGGGCUCGAAAAAAUUGCCGGGCUUCGGCUCGACUUUCAACGCGACCCCAGGUCAGGCGGGGUUACCCGCUGAAUUUAAGCAUAUCAAUAAGCGGAGGA